rnacentral:rRNA from 1 species
UACGUAGGGGCCUAGCGUUGUCCGGAAUUACUGGGCGUAAAGCGCGCGUAGGCGGCUUUGCAAGUCGGGUGUGAAAUCCCCAGGCCUAACCUGGGAACUGCAUUCGAGACUGCAUGGCUAGAGUAUCGGAGAGGGAAGUGGAAUUCCAGGUGUAGCGGUGAAAUGCGUAGAUAUCUGGAGGAACACCGGUGGCGAAGGCGGCAUCCUGGACCGGCAUUGACGCUGAGGCGCGAAAGCCAGGGGAGCAAACGGG